UACGGAGGGUGCGAGCGUUAAUCGGAAUUACUGGGCGUAAAGCGCGCGUAGGCGGUUUGCUCAGUCUGAUGUGAAAGCCCUGGGCUUAACCUGGGAACUGCAUUGGAUACUGGCAGGCUCGAGUGUGGUAGAGGGGUGUGGAAUUUCCGGUGUAGCAGUGAAAUGCGUAGAGAUCGGAAGGAACACCAGUGGCGAAGGCGGCACCCUGGACCAACACUGACGCUGAGGUGCGAAAGCGUGGGGAGCAAAC
rnacentral:rRNA from 1 species